rnacentral:rRNA from 1 species
UACGUAGGGGGCUAGCGUUGUCCGGAAUCAUUGGGCGUAAAGCGCGUGUAGGCGGUCCGGUAGGUCCGCUGUGAAAGUCGGGGGCUCAACCCUCGAAUGCCGGUGGAUACUGUCGGGCUAGAGUACGGAAGAGGCGAGUGGAAUUCCUGGUGUAGCGGUGAAAUGCGCAGAUAUCAGGAGGAACACCAAUUGCGAAGGCAGCUCGCUGGGACGUUACUGACGCUGAGACGCGAAAGCGUGGGGAGCAAACAGG